UAUGUAUGUGUGUGUGUGUGUCUGUGUGUGUAUAACAUAACACACACAGACACACACACACACACACAUAUA
rnacentral:miRNA from 1 species